UUGUGUACUAAAGAGAGAAAGGUGUC
rnacentral:sRNA from 1 species